rnacentral:misc_RNA from 1 species
UCUCUCUCUCUCUCUCUUCCUCAGUGCUCCUAGCCUUUAUUGGCAUGUCGCUCAUCUCCUCUCGCAACACCGCAAUCAACCAUGCACAGAAGCAAUCAAAGCCGCACAGUGCCGCAAUCAAUCUCACAGGCCAAAUUGCAGCCUCACAAAUAUAAUCAAUCACCUAGCUGACGCAAUAGACAUCCUCUGAGUCAUAUCAUGAUACCGCUCACCACUUCUCAUCGCAGAUUCUUAGUUGAUUUUUCUGGACACAGUUGAUACUUUGUGACUCUGGUUGUGUUGAUUUCACUUCAUCCUAAUUUCAAUUUGAUUGUAUGUUUUGUUUCUCAAUCUGUCUUUCAAUUUGAUUUUUCUUACAGUUGAAUGGUUGAAUGGAUUUUAGAUUGUUUAUUAAUUAUAAUUCCAAGUGG